AUACUUACCUGGCGGGGGAGAUCCCAUGAUCACGAAGGUGAUUGGCUCAGGGGGAGGCUCAUCCAUUGCACUGGGGGUGGGCUGACCCCUGCGAUUUCCCCAAAGGCGGGAAACUUGGCUGCAGAUUUGGGAGGGGGCUGCGCGCGCGCGCGCUCUCCUC